UAUAACAUAUUAAAUGGAUGUAAUCAACACAGUCAUAGGUAAACUGUGGACAUGUGAAAUCUGAGACAGGCGAAUUUAUUUUCUGCUUAUACUGCUAAAGUGACCCAAGAACUAGAGAAGUUCUUCUUAAGAUUGAACUGAGGUUUUGGAGAAGCACCUGAAGAAAUGAGAAAGGAAAGACGCACGCACACAGUUGCCUGGUUGGCCAACUCCGGGUGUCAGAUGGAGAUACAGGUGUGGCAGAUUGAUCACCAGCAACCUAUGUAGAAUUGCCAGCUAAGUUUAGAUUCUGAAGAUAAUGCAUGGACAUCUCUGAGGAGGCACUCUUCUGCCCAUCACACACUAUGCUGAGGGAAGCCAGAUGGCAAGAUAAACAGAGAUGAGCAAAUUGUGGCCAGAGAGAAGCGUCUUAAGGACUCCCUUCCCCCAAGAGCCCAGAAUAGAAUAAGAAUGUUUAUCACGGAGCAGGCUCUGCCAAAGAUGUUCUAUGGGAGGUGAGUUAUGCUGGAAGCAGAAGCAAAGGUUUGUACUUAAAACAACAGGCAGAAAAUCUUGCGUUGCACACACUAACAGAAGUUUCUUUCUUUAGGCAAAUGCAUAUUUUGAAUCUCUGAGAAAGGAUUAAGUAUGUAUUAUUUCAUAAACUUAACUUUCCAAGGAAUAUUUUUUCCGAGAAACUCCCAUUGGGAAAAACCUGAUUCAGUGAAGUCACCAGGCUCAGACAUUGGCUCGCACCCUGGUAAACCUUUUGCUGGUUGACCAUUGUUUUACUUUUA